AGUGAACGCUGGCGGUAGGCCUAACACAUGCAAGUCGAACGGCAGCACAGUAAGAGCUUGCUCUUACGGGUGGCGAGUGGCGGACGGGUGAGGAAUACAUCGGAAUCUACUUUUUCGUGGGGGAUAACGUAGGGAAACUUACGCUAAUACCGCAUACGACCUACGGGUGAAAGCAGGGGAUCUUCGGACCUUGCGCGAUUGAAUGCGCCGAUGUCGGAUUAGCUAGUUGGCGGGGUAAAUGCCCACCAAGGCGACGAUACGUAGCUGGUCUGAGAGGAUGAUACGCCACACUUGAAGUGAGACACCGUCCAGACCCCUACGGGAGGGAGCAGUGGGGAAUAUUGGACAAUGGGCGCAAGCCUGAUCCAGCCAUACCGCGUGGGUUAAGAAGGCCUUCGGGUUGUAAAGCCCUUUUGUUGGGAAAGAAAAGCAGCAGGUUAAUACCCCGCUGUUCUGACGGUACCCAAAGAAUAAGCACCGGCUAACUUCGUG
rnacentral:rRNA from 1 species